ensembl:lncRNA
GAGGAAGUGUUUUCGUAUAUUCAGACGCAAUUAAACCCAUCGCAGCCACCCUCACAACCGAAAGUCCUGCAGGAAACCAGUCAUUGCGCGCCACUGCCGCACUCGCCUCCGUUGGUGUCAGCGUGUGAAAACAAAGCGCUGGAGCAACAGCUCUGCUGUGAGGUGGCGGCGGUAGACUUCAUUUGCACAGGCGAGUCGAAUGAACAGGAUGGUGUUCCGCCCACUGAGGCUGUGUCAACAACUCAUGUGUACCCGGAACAGGGCAGAGAAAGAGAGCAACUGGAGGAGCUGGAUCCUAAAUGUUUUAUGCGUCCUGUUACGUUUGAGGCCGCUGAUAUAUCGGUCGGGGAUAAAAGUAUCCCAGAGUUGGAAGCUGGGCAUGGAGGCUCUGCUAUCGAUCUCAGCCAAGAGACCCUGAAAGCAUCAAUGGAGGAUGGUGAAGAACCGGACAACGGAGGGAAUGAAUCAACAAACAAUAUAGAGGAAGGGGAUAUAACCCCUACAGUUGAACAUGAGGACAGUGUGGAUGUAUCUGAGUUUAUCAAAGUGAAUAAAACCCCUUGUACACACCUAGACAUGUUGGCUGAAGAAAUUGGACUAACUCUGGUAGAAGAAACUAUUUUAAUGCAAUCAGAGGCUGAACGCUGCGCAAGUGAAGACGCAGCCACAAAAAAGGACUACCUCAGGCCAGAUGAAGAGAAAGCCGAGGACAGAAACUGGGAAAUGAUGGUCAAAGAAGAGGAAAAAAAUGCAUCAGGCAAAGAGGUCAUGAGGAAAGAGGUUGACGAAAAUGGUGAGAGAGGAGAGAACGACAAGCUGAAAGAAAAGCAAACGAUCACAGAGCAACAACCUUUGGAGAAUGCGGUGGGCUGUGAAAAGAGAGAGCCAACUAAUACAGGGUCUGAUGGACAAAAAAGUUUUGAUUCGACAGAAGUGAAAAGUCAAGUUGAAGUUGAAACUGUGAAGGAACCCCUCGUUUUGGAGGAACAGGAAGUGGAAGAGGAAAAGGUUGAGAAAGAUGGUGAUCAUGACACAGAGAACCAGCAUGAAGUAUUGGAGGAAAUAAGGAGCAAAGAGAAGGAAAACCUAGCUGAAACCGACAUAGAAACUCAGGUAGAAGUAGAAGCUCAGGCAGAGCGAAUUUCAGCCGCUGUUGAGGUUCAUGGAGCAGGGAAAGGAGGGGUGGCGGUGGAGACAGGUGAGGAGAUUGUGGUCGGAACAGCGAAAGAAGAGAGAAACGAAGAGACGGAGAGGCCAGAGAUGGGGUCACACGCUGGUCAAAGGCAAAUGGAGAGCGAUCCAUCUACGCCAGUGAGCAAUGUGCAUGAGUGUGAGGUAGAAAGGGUAAUAGCCAAAGAAAACGCCCCGAAAAAUGAAACCACAAAUUUCCAGACUGAAAUGGAGUUUAUCUCAGAAGAAGAGGUGCGAAGCAUCACUUACAGGUUACACCUUGCAAGCGGCCAAUCAAAAGCACUUUCUGAAUCGUCCCGAUGUGGAAGUGAUUCGUGGGCAGCAGACAAAGGGUCACGUGCCUCGACCGACGAGCCGGAAUGGGAUGUAACAGCCGAGGAGCGGGAGGUGGACAGCAACUCCAGUGACUCUCCGUCGGAUGAAGAGAUGGAGUUGUACAUGCACCGCCUGCGGGCAGCGCCAUCCCCCCAAACUUUCAGAAGCUUCCCCAGAGAUCGUGGCUCACGUACGGGUAAAGGACUCUCGAUAGACGGACCAAAGCUCCUGUCUUCGUCCAUGCCAUCCAUCAGUGAAUCUGUGAAUGAGGAACAGCUCACAAAGAUCCCGGACAAGCCAGAAAAGAAGGAAGUAGAGAACUUCCAGUCCGACUCUGGACAAUUUCCAACACAGGACAAUCAGGAAUAUGGAGGCGUAAACAUUGCCCAGUGGACGUCCAAAUUAUCUUGCAGUAAUAUCUUAAAGGCACUUUUAUACAUCACCAUGUGUGCUUUAUUUGUAGUUGUCGGAUACCAUUAUGAUUUCCUGGCGUGUUUUGCUCUUUACUUGUUGUCCAUAUUUUGGCUGUAUUGCCGAGCAGACCGUCAGUCGGAAACAACAAUGUUCUGAACUAGAUUAUAGGGUGCAACAUGAAGGUAGAAUUUUUAUCAGAGGUCAUACAUAUAUAUUCUGAGUUUAUCGGCAAAACAAUGAAUUUUACAAAGGUCAGAUCACUACUGUAGAGCUGUGUUUGUUUACAUCCCCAUAUUAAAGCUGCAGUAUGUAUGAUUUUUUCUCUUGGAGUGUAGACACAUCCCCAUCCACAAUCCCUCACAGUGCAUUGUGAGGGGUUUUCCUUCACCAGUUAAGCAGCCGUGCAGGGUUAUUCCAUUCUUACGUUUCACAACGAGGCUCCGCCUAUUUUGUUUAUGUAACAUACUGCAGCUUUAAUCACUUACUUUCGUUUAAUAACUUUUUCAUAAUCCAUGAAUAUAAAAAGAAGCCUAAUCCUGAUCAUGAUUUACGUAUGAUAUAUUUCACUUUGUGUAUACCUGAUUACUUUAAUUUAACUUUGAAUUUAACUUUGAGGCCUUGAUCUGGAAGUGAAUGUCCAACAGGUUAUUUUAAUGUGCUAUAUAUUCCCUGUGGAAGAACAUGAAUCCAUGCAAUUUUGUCAAAAUGCAUUUUGUUAAAAUCAUGACACAUAAUUCAUACCCCUUCUGUAUUUAGCGUAGCAAUUAGCGGUAUGAUGAACCGUAAAAGUUAUUCCUGUGUCAACAAAGCAAACACUGUGGACCAUUGUGAAAUUAUCAGCAUAACAGAGUUUGGUACAAUGCAAUGUAAAUGGAGAUAUUUUGUUAUGUAUAGAUGUACUAGUAUAU